rnacentral:rRNA from 1 species
UACGUAGGGGGCUAGCGUUGUCCGGAAUCAUUGGGCGUAAAGCGCGCGUAGGCGGCCAGAUAAGUCCGGUGUGAAAGUCACAGGCUCAACCUGUGAAUGCCGCUGGAAACUGUCUGGCUUGAGUCCGGAAGGGGCGAGUGGAAUUCCUGGUGUAGCGGUGAAAUGCGCAGAUAUCAGGAGGAACACCAAUGGCGAAGGCAGCUCGCUGGAACGGUACUGACGCUGAGGCGCGAAAGCUAGGGGAGCGAACAGG